UACGGGGGGGGCAAGCGUUGUCCGGAAUUAUUGGGCGUAAAGGGCUCGUAGGCGGUCUGUCGCGUCGAAAGUGAAAACUCAGGGCUUAACCCUGAGCCUGCUUCCGAUACGGGCAGACUAGAGGUAUGCAGGGGAGAACGGAAUUCCUGGUGUAGCGGUGAAAUGCGCAGAUAUCAGGAGGAACACCGGUGGCGAAGGCGGCCUGCUGGGACAUCGCUGACGCUGAGGCGCGACAGCGUGGGGAGCAAACAGG
rnacentral:rRNA from 1 species